rnacentral:rRNA from 1 species
UACGGAGGAUGCGAGCGUUAUCCGGAUUUAUUGGGUUUAAAGGGUGCGUAGGCGGCUUUUUAAGUCAGCUGUGAAAUUUUGCAGCUUAACUGUAACAGUGCCGUUGAUACUGGGGAGCUAGGAUUUGGUUGCUGUGGGUGGAAUGUGUGGUGUAGCGGUGAAAUGCUUAGAGAUCACACAGAAUAUCGAUUGCGAAGGCAGCUCACAAAGCCAAGAUUGACGCUGAGGCACGAAAGUGUGGGGAUCAAACAGGAUUA